UCCGGUUUGUCACCGGCAGUCUCCUUAGAGUGCCCACCAUAACGUGCUGGUAACUAAGGACAAGGGUUGCGCUCGUUACGGGACUUAACCCAACAUGUCACCACACGAGCUGACGACAGCCAUGCAGCACCUGUCUCCCAGUGGUAUUGCUACCAAGACCCUAUCUCUAGGGCUGUCCGGGGAUGUCAAAUCCAGGUAAGGUUCUUCGCGUUGCUUCGAAUUAAACCACAUGAUCCACCGCUUGUGCGGGCCCCCGUCAAUUCCUUUGAGUUUUAGUCUUGCGGCCGUACUUCCCAGGCGGGGUACUUAGUGCGUUAGCUCCGCUUCAGCGGGGGUCAAGACCCACCAAAGCUAGUACCCAUCGUUUACAGCGUGGACUAC
rnacentral:misc_RNA from 1 species